rnacentral:lncRNA from 1 species
AAUGGAGAAUUUGGCAGGAAAAAAAAAGUUACAGAAGUGGAACUCAACAAGGUAGCCAUAACAACAGGUGAUCAAAACAAACUUGUGAAACAAAGGCACGGUUGCAGCAUGGUUAUUCCUUUUUGAAACGAAGGUACAGUUGCUGUUUCCUGGAACAGGCAGUCCAGAACCAUGAGUGGUUACAGUUACUGGCCCAGAGAAUUAAGUUUUGCUCCCUUAGAGAAAAAAACUGCUGAGUAAGCUGCAGACUCCUCGAAUCCUCUUCAGAGCCAGACCUGUCGAAAAUGGCCAUCGGCAAUAACCGUGUAAACUGCUUCGAAAGACCAAAAACCUGCACACUCGCGGGUCUCCGCUAGUCUCAGCUCCCAAAAGGGUGGCUCCCACCUUGUCCUCCUCUCCCUUUUCCCCAUUGUCUUCCCUUUCCAAUGAACGCCUUUCCUACACUCAUCUCCCAGGUCCAAACCGGGACCGCUCAGUGGCUCCAGCACACACCUGGGGUGACCAGUCCCUCGUCGGUACCUGCUUAGGGUCUGCGAAGGACCGUACCCUAAAGCGUAAUAGGUUCCUUAUCGUAGUCCUUCUGGGCGUCCAGGCCGCGCCCUCGCCAGAGUGGUGCCCCUGGUGGCCACCGAUCCCCAAGUGACAGCGGGAUCUCAGCAUCGGAAGGCGCCAGCAGCACGCGCGCGGUUCAUUACGGUCACGCGAGCCCGGGAACCCGGCGCAGGACCUGCGGUCUGGUGACGCCAGUUCAACUUCCAACGGCUGCCCUCAGUAAGCGCCGUGACCAACCUCCAGGACUGAACGCUGCUCCCGGUGAGCCCUCGUUCACCAUCCAGCCAACCUACAGAUUUCUACAUCGUCUCUGUGGCGCAAUCGGUUAGCGCGUUCGGCUGUUAACCGAAAGGUCAAGGUGAACAGGGAAUAACUUCCCUCAUCUACCUGAAGUCCAAGCAAGCCUACAGUAGUAUCCUUUCUUCAGAUUCACUUACACAAGUGAAGCCUUACUGUUUAGUUUUUCAGACAAGGCCUAAAAUAACCCAGGCUGGUCAGGAAUUUGAGGGACAGUUGCUCACUGUGUAGCCUCGGCUGGACUGGGAUUCGCAGAGAUCAAGAGCUGCUGUCUCUUGAGUGCUAAAAUUAAAGGCAUGUACCACCAUACCCAGC